rnacentral:rRNA from 1 species
AUACGGAGGGUCCAAGCGUUAUCCGGAAUCAUUGGGUUUAAAGGGUCCGCAGGCGGUCAAUUAAGUCAGAGGUGAAAGCCCAUCGCUCAACGAUGGAACUGCCUUUGAUACUGGUUGACUUGAGUUAUACGGAAGUAGAUAGAAUAAGUAGUGUAGCGGUGAAAUGCAUAGACAUUACUUAGAAUACCGAUUGCGAAGGCAGUCUACUACGUAUAUACUGACGCUGAGGGACGAAAGCGUGGGGAGCGAACAGGAUUAGAAACCCUAGUAGUCC